GGUCAGAUGGCAGAGUGGUCGAAUGCGAUGGUUUGCAAAACCAUUAUUCCACGCGCCGGUUCGAAUCCGGCUCUGACCUCCA
rnacentral:tRNA from 1 species